rnacentral:rRNA from 1 species
GAAUCCCGUCUUUGGCACGGAUGCACCAGGGCUUUUGUGAUGCGCUCUCGAAGAGUCGAGUUGUUUGGGAAUGCAGCUCAAAAUGGGUGGUGAAUUCCAUCUAAAGCUAAAUAUUGGCGAGAGACCGAUAGCGAACAAGUACCGUGAGGGAAAGAUGAAAAGAACUUUGGAAAGAGAGUUAAACAGUACGUGAAAUUGCUGAAAGGGAAACGCUUGAAGUCAGUCGCGUUGUCUGGAAAUCAACCUUACUUUUGUUGGGUGUACUUUCUAGUUGACGGGUCAACAUCAAUUUUGAUCGUUGGAUAAAGUCUUUGGGAAUGUGGCUUCUUCGGAAGUGUUAUAGCCCAAGGUCGCAUACAAUGGUUGGGAUUGAGGAACUCAGCACGCCGCAAGGCCGGGUUUUAACCACGUUCGUGCUUAGGAUGUUGGCAUAAUGGCUUUAAUCGACCCGUCUUGAAACACGGACCAAGGAGUCUAACAUGCCUGCGAGUAUUUGGGUGGAAAACCCGGAUGCGUAAUGAAAGUGAAAGUUGAGAUCCCUGUCGUGGGGAGCAUUGACGCCCGGACCAGACCUUCUGUGACGGAUCCGCGGUAGAGCAUGUAUGUUGGGACCCGAAAGAUGGUGAACUAUGCCUGAAUAGGGUGAAGCCAGAGGAAACUCUGGUGGAGGCUCGUAGCGAUUCUGACGUGCAAAUCGAUCGUCAAAUUUGGGUAUAGGGGCGAAAGACUAAUCGAACCAUCUAGUAGCUGGUUCCUGCC